UCUCUCUCAAUCUUUUCGUUUGAAGUGUCUGAUUGUCAAGAAGGCAGACUGGCAGCUGCCCUGUUUCUUUCCCUGCUCUUGACAGCAGCCUCCCUCUCCUCUCAGUCCAGGCGGGAAUGGGUUUGCAGAGGAAACACUGCCUUCACCUCUUUAACUUCCAAGCUCAUGCAGGUCUUUUUCCUUCUUUCAUAUCCAUGUUAGGGACUAGUUAAUGUAGGAAAAUGUGUGAAUGAAUACAGCAAAAGGCUUCUUCUGGCUUUUACAGUAUACUCAGAUGAUCGCUAUAGGAAUUUGAGGGUUGAAAGGAAACCUUCCACUUUGUGCCAAUGGCAUUCUCUUUUAAAAGAACAGUACUGAAACUGUUUGCUACAGCGUUUUAAUGAAUUUUUGAGGCGGUCCUGUGAAAGAGCGUCACUUUGUAGGUUUGUAGUCCCUUGUCGUGAUGUAGUCACUUAGCCUUAAUGAGCACAUCCCAUGCUGUUGCUUCUUGCCAUCCAUCUGAUCCUUCUCUUUCACAUUUGACCAAAACAAUGGGCCAUGUCCCACACUGCUGGAGCUCCCAGUGCUGGUGGGAGUGGGCCCUGACGUCUGGAGUUUGGGGAGCAUGUCACCAUUUCUGAAGUGGUCUGUGAAAGAAGAGAUAGGAAUGCUGUAGGCAUCUGUGCAGAUCAGCCCAUCACCUGUAGGGGAAGGCAACACAGAGGAGGCGUCCUGCUGAGCCGGUCCUGAAUGAGCAGAGGAGGCAACUGGAUAGUGACUAGCAGAGGGGAAACAGAGGGGGAGCAGUUAUUGUCGGCUGAGAUGGUCACAGGUUGGAUCCAGGGGUUAUGAAGAUGAGCACAUUAAUUGUAACCUGCACUACUGGAAAAGAGCAUCCAUUUCUGGGAGGGAGAGAGAGGAGCAAAGGCCAGUGGUUAACCCCGACAUUGCCAACUUAGGGAGAACCUCGCCCCUGCC
ensembl:lncRNA